rnacentral:rRNA from 1 species
GACGAACGCUGGCGGCGUGCCUAAUACAUGCAAGUAGAACGCUGAAGAGAGGAGCUUGCUCUUCUUGGAUGAGUUGCGAACGGGUGAGUAACGCGUAGGUAACCUGCCUUGUAGCGGGGGAUAACUAUUGGAAACGAUAGCUAAUACCGCAUAACAAUGGAUGACCCAUGUCAUUUAUUUGAAAGGGGCAAAUGCUCCACUACAAGAUGGACCUGCGUUGUAUUAGCUAGUAGGUGAGGUAACGGCUCACCUAGGCGACGAUACAUAGCCGACCUGAGAGGGUGAUCGGCCACACUGGGACUGAGACACGGCCCAGACUCCUACGGGAGGCAGCAGUAGGGAAUCUUCGGCAAUGGGGGCAACCCUGACUGAGCAACGCCGCGUGAGUGAAGAAGGUUUUCGGAUUGUAAAGCUCUGUUGUAAGUCAAGAACGAGUGUGAGAGUGGAAAGUUCACACUGUGACGGUAGCUUACCAGAAAGGGACGGCUAACUACGUGCCAGCAGCCGCGGUAAUACGUAGGUCCCGAGCGUUGUCCGGAUUUAUUGGGCGUAAAGCGAGCGCAGGCGGUUUGAUAAGUCUGAAGUUAAAGGCUGUGGCUCAACCAUAGUUCGCUUUGGAAACUGUCAAACUUGAGUGCAGAAGGGGAGAGUGGAAUUCCAUGUGUAGCGGUGAAAUGCGUAGAUAUAUGGAGGAACACCGGUGGCGAAAGCGGCUCUCUGGUCUGUAACUGACGCUGAGGCUCGAAAGCGUGGGGAGCGAACAGGAUUAGAUACCCUGGUAGUCCACGCCGUAAACGAUGAGUGCUAGGUGUUGGAUCCUUUCCGGGAUUCAGUGCCGCAGCUAACGCAUUAAGCACUCCGCCUGGGGAGUACGACCGCAAGGUUGAAACUCAAAGGAAUUGACGGGGGCCCGCACAAGCGGUGGAGCAUGUGGUUUAAUUCGAAGCAACGCGAAGAACCUUACCAGGUCUUGACAUCCCGAUGCUAUUUCUAGAGAUAGAAAGUUACUUCGGUACAUCGGUGACAGGUGGUGCAUGGUUGUCGUCAGCUCGUGUCGUGAGAUGUUGGGUUAAGUCCCGCAACGAGCGCAACCCCUAUUGUUAGUUGCCAUCAUUCAGUUGGGCACUCUAGCGAGACUGCCGGUAAUAAACCGGAGGAAGGUGGGGAUGACGUCAAAUCAUCAUGCCCCUUAUGACCUGGGCUACACACGUGCUACAAUGGUUGGUACAACGAGUUGCGAGUCGGUGACGGCAAGCUAAUCUCUUAAAGCCAAUCUCAGUUCGGAUUGUAGGCUGCAACUCGCCUACAUGAAGUCGGAAUCGCUAGUAAUCGCGGAUCAGCACGCCGCGGUGAAUACGUUCCCGGGCCU